rnacentral:rRNA from 1 species
UACGUAGGGCGCAAGCGUUGUCCGGAAUUAUUGGGCGUAAAGAGCUCGUAGGCGGCCUGUCGCGUCCGCUGUGAAAUCCCGAGGCUUAACCCCGGGCGUGCAGUGGAUACGGGCUGGCUGGAGGCAGGCAGGGGAGAACGGAAUUCCGGGUGUAGCGGUGAAAUGCGCAGAUAUCGGGAGGAACACCAAUGGCGAAGGCAGCUCGCUGGGACGGUACUGACGCUGAGACGCGAAAGCGUGGGGAGCAAACAGG